AUUAUCGCGGCGUAUAAUUAAAACACAAGCGUCCAGAGACUCGCUCUCGUCACCUCUCCGUCGCCGUCACAGCCACGCCGCCCGUCGUUCAUCCGCUGCCGUUGCUGGAAACCCAGCCACCGGCACUUUUGAUUCUUCCUCUUUGUUGGUACAAGAUGGAAGACUAUAUAAGAAUGAACAAAUCCUUCAUAGACUUGAUUAAUGUUUGAAUGAUCAAAUCAAUUUUCCAUAAGAGAUUUUGGUAGUGGAGAGGUCUAAAGAAUCGUGAGUUUACUAUUGAAUCAAGCUUCAUGGAGUGCAUUGAGUCAAGCUUCAGCAAAUGCAAUACAAAGGGAUAUUGAAGGAGUUAUAAGAAGGAGGUCCCGGGUUGAAACUGGAAAAACUGACCUAAUUAUUCAUUUACUAACCUUUUCUUAUAAAAAAAAUUAGCAUAAUAGUGAGAUAAUGCCAUAUCCUAGAAUUUUGGAGAGUUAGUUUGUAUUUUGGUUCUAUAUAGUAAGAUACAGUAAGUAAUGAGAAAAAGGGAGUGAAAAUUUAUGUGAAACUUCCCUUCUUUUAGCUCAAUUUGCCUCUCUUAAUUCUGGAGUGUAACUCUACUCGAAUUGGGUCAUAACAAGAGGACAAAGGCAGCAGAGAUGUUGUCCGCAGGCGCAGCUAGAGAGAGGAUGCACAUUUUCCAGAAACUCUUCAACGGAUUUCGGCGACGUGUUUGGGUGCACCGUUGUUAUGCUUCUUCACCUUGCCUUGCCUUUGAUGAUUCAUUUUCUUUCAAUGCAAAUACUCUUCUAUGCUCAAGGAACCUCGACCCACCUCUCAAUUAUGUCUAUCAAGGAACUGCCACUGAAUGCAGAGAUAUGCUCCGGCAGCAGAAAUUGGAACAGCAAGCUCCAACUGCCUAUUAUGUGCCUAAUAUGCCUGAACUUAACUCUCAACUGAAGCAACUAAUGAAACUGGGCAAACUUUGUGAAGCUAGGGAUAUGUUUGAUAAAAUGGCUCACAGAGAUGAGAUUUCAUGGACGAAUUUAAUAGCGGGUUAUGUCAAUGCCGCGGACUCGAAUGAAGCAUUGAUCUUAUUCUCAAAUAUGUGGGUUGAGCCUGGACUUCAAAAGGACCAAUUUGUGGUUAGUGUUGCCCUCAAGGCUUGUGCACAUGGCAUGAAUGUAUAUUUUGGAGAACUAUUGCACGGAUUUUCGGUGAAAUCCGGUUUGAUAAACUCAGUUUUUGUCGGCAGUGCCCUUGUAGACAUGUACAUGAAAGUCGGGAAAACAGAACACGGUUGCAGUGUCUUUGAAAAAAUGACAACAAGAAAUGUAAUAUCAUGGACUGCCGUUAUUGUUGGGCUUGUACAUGCUGGUCACUGUUUGGAGGGACUGUUGUACUUUUCCGAAAUGUGGAGAUCAAAAGUGGGCUAUGAUUCACAUACAUUUGCCAUUGCUUUAAAGGCAUCUGCUGAUUCAGGUUUAUUACAUUAUGGCAAAUCAAUACACGCGCAAACAAUAAAACAAGGGUUCAAUGAAACCGCAUUUGUUAUUAAUACUCUUGGUACCAUGUAUAAUAAAUGUAAGAAACCAGACUAUGUCAUGCGAUUAUUUGGAAAAACGAGGAUGCCAGACGUAGUUUCAUGGACAAACCUUAUUACAACUUAUGUACAGAUGGGUGAAGAAGAAUGUGCGUUGGACACAUUUAAAAGAAUGAGAAAAUCUUAUGUCAGUCCCAAUGAGUACACUUUUGCAUCCGUAAUUUCUGCCUGUGCAACUCUCGCUGUUAGUGAAUGGGGGGAACAAAUACAUGGCCAUGUAUUGCGUCUAGGUUUGGUAGAUGCCUUGUCAGUGGCAAAUUCCAUCAUCACUCUUUAUUCGAAAUGUGGGAUGUUAAGGGAAGCUUCAUUGGUAUUUCAUGGUAUGGCUAGAAAAGAUAUUAUUUCUUGGAGCACUGUAAUUUCUAUUUAUUCUCAAGGAAACUACGCAGAAGAAGCUUUCGGCUAUCUAUCAAUGAUGAGAAGGGAAGGACCAAAACCAAAUGAAUUUGCCCUUGCUAGUGUGCUGAGUGUAUGUGGAAGUAUGGCACUUCUUGAGCAAGGUAAGCAGGUGCAUGCUCAUGCCCUGUGCAUCGGCUUAGACCAUGAAGCAAUGGUCCAUAGUGCUCUCAUUAGUAUGUAUUCAAGAUGUGGAAGUCUACAAGAGGCUACAAAAGUCUUUGAUGAUACAAACAAUAACGACAUCGUAUCAUGGACUGCCAUGAUUAACGGGUACGCCGAACAUGGUUAUAGCCAAGAGGCUAUUAGCUUGUUUGAGAAUAUUUCUAGUGUUGGUUUAACGCCGGACUAUGUGACAUUUAUCGGGGUUCUGACUGCUUGUAACCAUGCUGGAUUGGUUGAUCUCGGGUUCUACUACUUAAAGUUAUUGACUAAUGUAUACCGGAUCACUCCUUCGAAAGAGCACUACGGUUGCAUGAUUGACCUUCUAUGCAGAGCAGGGAGAUUGAGUGAAGCUGAGCAUAUGAUACGAAACAUGCCAUUCCCUAGUGAUGAUGUUGUGUGGUCGACCUUACUCAGGGCAUGCAGGGAUCACGGGGAUGUUGACCGGGGAAGAUGGGCAGCUGAGCAGAUACUUCGCUUGGAUCCAAAUUCUGCUGGAACUCACAUCACUCUAGCUAAUAUAUAUGCUGCAAGUGGAAGAUGGAAGGAAGCAGCACAUUUAAGGAAGUUAAUGAAGUUAAAGGGAGUAAUAAAGGAACCGGGAUGGUCUUGGAUUAAUGUCAAUGAUCAAUUAAAUAAAUUUGUGGCCGGGGAUCAAUCUCAUCCGCUAAAUGAACAUAUAACAACCAUUCUGGAAUUACUAAGCACAAAUAUUGGAGAUGCUAGGUUGGAUUCAGGUUCUCUUGUAGAAGAUGCUGAAGAUUAGCUGAAUUCUGCCUUAUUAUGUCAGUGCUAGAUCAAAGUACUUUUUACGAGUUUCCAUCUUGCAUAAAUUUGAAAUGAUUAUUGGACUUUGUUUACCAGCUCAAAUCAUUGAAAAAUGUCGGAUUUGACGCUGGUUCUCCAGCACUGAGUUGGACAUCAUUCAAAAGACAGCAAUGUUUUCUUUUGACAAAACGUAAAAAUCAAAAGACAUGCUACUUAGUACUUGGUGCUCCGUUUCAUGUUGGUCCGGCAGGAACAAAAUUGCCUAUGGAGUUUCAGGAACAAAAUGGCUUCAUCUCCAAAUCAUGGGGCACAUCAGGUUGGACCGAAAGAAGCGUCAGCUGUACUGCACCAAUACGAGCAGGGCAUACAUACAUUGCUAUCUUUUAUUGUUCUUUUUUUUUUAAUAACUGUAUAGAUUUGUGACAAUUUACUGAAAUAUUAUUUCUUAUGUUAUGUUUUAAUCAGAAAGUUAUUUUAUUAGAGAUGAACGUUUUAUUUUCUUGUUUUUCUUCUACCGUAUUUACAUUGUUCCACCAUAUGUAACAACAGUCCCUUUCUGAAUUUGUCCCACUAUUUUGGUAGCUUCUGAUGUCCGUAUUUAUUUUGAUUGUCUUAAUUCUAUAACUAAAAACUAAUAUUAUUUUUCCAUUGUGUUCACUAAACUGUAAAGAGCACACUUUCGCAUUUUUUCCCCUAUUUUUUUUAAUAAAUUACACACAAGUCCAUUGACUACUGUACUGAUUCCUUUUGUUGAUUAUGCAGAAUCGUCGUGCACAAACGCAGUGACUUAUUUUCGUGGUCAGUAUGAAUUGUACAGAUAAGUGUAAUAUCUAAUAUCUGGCUGAUCCAGGAAGAAGAGAUGACUUAUCAAUGGGCUUAUGACUCUGGAUUUUGAGAUCACUCAUCGUAUAUGAUAUUGCAUCCACCCAGAUCAAGCUGUGCUGCAAGUACCUGGUUGUGUCACCAUAACCCUACAUGAAGGGUGUAAGCAUGGAAACCGAAAGAGAGUAGCUGACUUAUGCUUUUGGCAGCAAUCCGACUCCAGAGAUAGUGGCAAUAUGGAGAAAAGAUCUCAGCAAGGUUAAUCCAAAAGACGCUGAAUCUUUAGUUGAUCCAGAGGAUUUUCCUAAUUUUUUUAAGAUGCGGAAGUUGCACUUGCUUUUUUGAAUCUAAACUGCAGAAACAAGGGUGUUUACCAUCCGGCAGAGGAGUAUAACUCACAUGUAACCCUUGUUCGUGCUGAUAGUUAUUAUAUUAGUACACUGACUGAUAUGAUAAUAGUCUUCUUUAUAUAGAUGACCAAGUUAAACAUUUGUUGGUGUUGUUGUUCUUCAUAAGUUCAUUUCUUACUUCAGAUGUGGAAAUUCAUUUGCUUUGACAUGUUAGAUAAAAUAAUUAUUUUGCUGGAGCAUUCAAGUAUCCAUACCACAUAGCAUAUGUUUGGAUUCACGUUUUGGUAGAAACCAAUGGACCCUGUAAUGUUUGAUUCAUUAAUUUUGCGUUCCAAUUAGUAGCUUCUAUGUAAACGCAGAAUUGGACGUGAUUUUAUGAACUUCUGAACAUGCAUAAUUGAAACAUAAAGUUUCUUUCAAUUUAAGAGAUGGAAUACUUCUUUUGAUGGAGCA